ACAGAAUGUAUUUUCUCAUAGUUCUGGAGGCUGGAAGUUCAAGAUCAAGGUGUUCAUAGGUUAGGUAUCUUCUGAGUCCACUCUCCUUGGCUUGCAGAUGGCCCCCUUCUCCCUUGUGUCUUCACUGGUCUUUCCUCUCUGUGUACAGCAUCCCCGAGGAGGGAGAUUGUCUGAGAUCUUGAAAAUGAUGCUCCAUGUCUGGCGCAACUUAAUAAUCAUCUGCUUCCACUGUGAGCGACAUCAUAAAAGGCCCCCGUGCAGCCCAGCGCCCAGAAAUGCACUUCAACAAGCCAGGCUCACUGCCACGCACACAGAGGAAGCGGCGCCCACAGGCACAUCCGCGGUUGCCACGGCAACCGCAAGGCACCGCAGAUGUAAUUAGUUAAGAUGAGGUCAUACUGGAGAAGGCUGGGCCAGAUGCAAUACGCCUGCCAUCCUUACGAAACGGAAAACCUGAACAUCGACACACACCCAGGGAGAGCGCCACGGGAACAUGAGAGCAGACGGCGGGGUGACGCCUGUGAGCCAAGGAUUGCCAGCCGCCCCCAGAAGCCCGGAGAAGCCCCUUCUCAACCUCCUCCAGAAGGAGCCUGCCCCCCUGACAGACACCGUGGCCUCAGACUCCUGCUCUCCGGACUGCGUGAAAGUAAAUUUCUGUUUAGUUCACCCUCUUCGUGGCCCUUUGUUACGGCAGCCCUAGCACACCGACACACGCACCACCAGCCUGCCUAUGAACAUGCAGGCAGGGUAAGUCUGUGGAUCUGGGUAAAGACAGGAGAGAAGCACCAGGGACAGUAAACUGCAUCGGUGAGUGCGGGCGACGCCAGAUCGGCAUAAAAGAAUGUCUGGGUCGGAGAAUACGGGACGGAAUGUACUUCUCCUCAAAACAAUGAAAUGCCUACUUCAUUAUCUAACCCUCCCGCAAGAGAGACAGAUACAUAGAUAGACAGAUGAUGGAUAGAUAUAAAUGAUAGAUGAUAGACAGAUAGAUAGACAGACAGAUGAUAGAAUAUUUUCAAUGGAUUCUUUCUCUCUGACUGUGUAAGAGACAUCAGCUCUCCUGUCUACCCUCUGUCCAACUGGAGAAGCAGAAACAAUAACUCACAAGCACUGAACCCCUAAGUAGGUGCCGUUCUAAGCCUUUUAUCUGUAUCUAUUUUAAGUUACCAAACACCAUAAGGUGGGCACUACUGUUACCCC